UCUUGCAGCAGUACCCAGAGAAUUGUGACUGUAUCAAGACAGAACUGGAGUGUGUGGAAGUCAACCUACAUGACGUUCCUCAAGUCUCCACCAAUGUCACCUGGCUGUCUCUGAAGAGUAACAAGAUAAAGAGCUUGUCUGACAACAUCUUCUCCAAAUACGCACACCUGCAGAGACUGUUCCUACAGAACAACAGCAUUCAGACAAUCUCCAGUGAAGCCUUCAGUGGACUCUACAAACUAGAGAAACUGUUUCUUAGUGUCAACUCCAUUUCAUCUCUCAAACUGGGUGUGUUCAGUGAUCUCCGUAAUCUAUGGUGGCUUGUGUUGGAUCAUAACCCUUUGAAAAGUAUCUCCCAAGACACCUUCACCGGCCUCACCUCCCUCAUGUUCCU